rnacentral:rRNA from 1 species
ACUUGGAGGAGUUUUUAGGCAGGGGGUCUAUACAUGCAAGUCGAGCGGAUCUUCAUUAGCUUGCUUUUGAAGAUCAGCGGCGGACGGGUGAGUAACACGUGGGCAACCUGCCUGUAAGACUGGGAUAACUUCGGGAAACCGGAGCUAAUACCGGAUAAUCCUUUCCCUCACAUGAGGGAAAGCUGAAAGACGGCAUCUCGCUGUCACUUACAGAUGGGCCCGCGGCGCAUUAGCUAGUUGGUGAGGUAACGGCUCACCAAGGCAACGAUGCGUAGCCGACCUGAGAGGGUGAUCGGCCACACUGGGACUGAGACACGGCCCAGACUCCUACGGGAGGCAGCAGUAGGGAAUCUUCCGCAAUGGACGAAAGUCUGACGGAGCAACGCCGCGUGAACGAUGAAGGCUUUCGGGUCGUAAAGUUCUGUUGUCAGGGAAGAACAAGUACCGGAGUAACUGCCGGUACCUUGACGGUACGUGACCAGAAAGCCACGGCUAACUACGUGCCAGCAGCCGCGGUAAUACGUAUGUGGCAAGCGUUGUCCGGAAUUAUUGGGCGUAAAGCGCGCGCAGGCGGUUCCUUAAGUCUGAUGUGAAAGCCCCCGGCUCACCCGGGGGAGGGUCAUUGGAAAACUGGGGGAACUUGAGUGCAGAAGAGGAGAGCGGAAUUCCACGUGUAGCGGUGAAAUGCGUAGUAGAUGGUGGGAGGAACACCAGGUGGCCGAAGCGGCUUCUCUGGUCUGUACUGACGGCUGAGGCCGCGAAAGUCGUGGAGGAGCGAACAGACUUAGAUACCCCUGGGUAGUCCACGCCGUAAACGAUGAUGCUAGUGUUAGAGGGAUUCCGCCCUUUAUGCUGCAGCAAACGUCAUCAGCACUCCGCCUGGGGGGAGUACCGGCGGCAAGGCGUGAAACUCAAUGACUGACCGGAGCCCGCCACAGCGGUGACAUGGUGGAUAUCCGAGCACGCGACACCUUACAGUCUGGACUCCCUGACAUCCUAUGAUCACGUGCCGUCGG